rnacentral:rRNA from 1 species
GGGUUGUGAGGUUAAGCGACUAAGCGUACACGGUGGAUGCCCUGGCAGUCAGAGGCGAUGAAGGACGUGCUAAUCUGCGAAAAGCGUCGGUAAGGUGAUAUGAACCGUUAUAACCGGCGAUGUCCGAAUGGGGAAACCCAGUGCAAUUCGUUGUACUAUCGUUAACUGAAUCCAUAGG